rnacentral:rRNA from 1 species
AGAGUUUGAUCAUGGCUCAGGAUGAACGCUAGCGGCAGGCCUAAUACAUGCAAGUCGAACGCUCAGUAGCAAUACUGGGAGUGGCGCACGGGUGCGUAACGCGUACACAAUCUACCUCUAAGCGGGGGACACCUCCUGGAAACGGGGAUUAAUACCGCAUAAUAUGCCGAGGUCGCAUGACUUUGGUAUUAAAGCAGCAAUGCACUUAGAGAUGAGUGUGCGUCCCAUUAGGUAGUUGGUGAGGCAACGGCUCACCAAGCCUAUGAUGGGUAGCCGGUCUGAGAGGAUGGUCGGCCACACGGGCACUGAGACACGGGCCCGACUCCUACGGGAGGCAGCAGUAAGGAAUAUUGGUCAAUGGUGGAAACACUGAACCAGCCAUGCCGCGUGGAGGAAUAAGGUCCUACGGAUUGUAAACUCCUUUUGACGAGGAAGAAAGUGUUAGAUUUAUCUAAUUUUGAUGGUACUCGUAGAAUAAGCACCGGUUAACUCCGUG